GACGAACGCUGGCGGCGUGCUUAACACAUGCAAGUCGAACGCUGAAGCUCAGCUUUUGUUGGGUGGAUGAGUGGCGAACGGGUGAGUAACACGUGAGUAACCUGCCCCCUCCUUUGGGAUAACGCCCGGAAACGGGUGCUAAUACUGGAUAUUCACUGGUCUUCGCAUGGGGGUUGGUGGAAAGGGUUUUUCUGGUGGGGGAUGGGCUCGCGGCCUAUCAGCUUGUUGGUGGGGUGAUGGCCUACCAAGGCUUUGACGGGUAGCCGGCCUGAGAGGGUGACCGGUCACAUUGGGACUGAGAUACGGCCCAGACUCCUACGGGAGGCAGCAGUGGGGAAUAUUGCACAAUGGGCGCAAGCCUGAUGCAGCGACGCCGCGUGAGGGAUGGAGGCCUUCGGGUUGUGAACCUCUUUCGCUCAUGGUCAAGCCGCAACAAUGGUUGUGGUGAGGGUAGUGGGUAAAGAAGCGCCGGCUAACUACGUG
rnacentral:rRNA from 1 species